UUAAAGGAAUUGACGGAAGGGCACCACCAGAAAUGGAGCCUGCGGCUUAAUUUGACUCAACACGGGUAAUCUCAUCAGGCCAGGACACUCGAAGGAUUGACAGAUUGAGAGCUCUUUCUUGAUUGGGUGUAUGGUGGUGCAUGGCCGUUCAUAGUUGGUGGAGCGAUUUGUCUGCUUAAUUGCGAUAACGAACGAGAUUCUGGCCUGCUAACUAGUCGAUACCGGCAUCCUUGGCGCAGCCGGCGACCACAUAUCUUCUUAGAGGGACGGGCGGCAUCUAGCCGCACGAGAAUGAGCAAUAACAGGUCUGUGAUGCCCUUAGAUGCUCUGGGCCGCACGCGCGCUACACUGAAGGGAGCAGCGUGUGUUUUCCUUGCUCGAGAGAGCCGGGUAACCCGCUGAACUUCCUUCGUGCUAGGGAUUGGGGCUUGCAAUUAUUCCCCACCAACGAGGAACUCCCAGUAAGCGUGAGUCAUCAGCUCACGUUGAUUAAGUCCCUGCCCUUUGUACACACCGCCCGUCGCUACUACCGAUUGAAUUAUUUAGUGAGGUCUUCGGACCAGAUCCCGGCGACCUUCGGGUAGCCGAAGAUCCGGAAAGAUGACCGAACUUGAUUAUUUAGAGGAAGUAAAAGUCGUAACAAGGUUACC
rnacentral:rRNA from 1 species